AGAAGAGAUACAAGGACAAUCAAGCAGAGAAAAGGCCAGCCAUCUGCAAGCCAAGAAGAGGCCUCAGGAGAAACCAGGCCUGCUGACCUCUUGAUUUCUGCCUGACUUCCAGCCUCCAGAACUGUGAGAAAGGAAUGUCUGCUGUGUAAGCGCCCACCCAGUCUGCCGUAUUUUAUUAUGGCAGUCCCAGUGGGCUAAUACAAGACGCUUCCUAAUUUUACCCACUCUCCUGUCCAUCCUUUGCCUUUCUCCAAGGAUAAUCCUCAACUCUAGCCUGACUAAAUUAUUUUUACUUUCCUGACGAUUCCAUGCUGUCUUUCCUCUUAGGUUUCAUGCUUGCCCAGGCUACCUCUAAAGCCUUCCUCCCCACCCCUCCCCUCUCUGCACCUCCCUCAGCCCUAACUCCCCAUCGGCAGUUAACACUCACUAAUUCUUGUGGGUGAAAUACUCUGCCUGUGUGUUUAAUUCUCUGAAGCUGAGGCAUUUGGUGCACUGAAUAUAAAUGAACUCUUCACCAACCAGCUCCUGGAGGGCAGGCGUGUCCCACAGCUGGACUCCCAGCACUCAGCACCUAGCUACACAAUUUACACGAGGCCUAGAGCAAAGGUCUCUUGUUUGAGUUUCAGGACAGGACAACAGAGCAUGGAUCAGGGACAGGGCCUUUGGGAGUGCAGGGUCUUUUGCCAAUGUACAGGUCGAAUGCUGCUGAAGCUGGUGCUUCCCGGACAGCCCCAGGCACACCAGGCCGGUAACCUGGAAACGUUGUUCUGCCAGUGAUGUGUCCUUGUUUUCUUUAAACAUUAAGGAGGGUCUCUCGCCGAAAGUUUCAGGCGAAUAGAGCUGGAAGGCGAGGGUAGCUAGGAUCUGAAACUCCAUGUCUCCAAGGAAGGAUGGUUUAUUGAUGCCCAGACCCCGCGCCACCACCCUGGGACCCCCAGCGUGGGUGGACAGGAUGAACUGGUAUUACGUAUGGGAAAUGCCUGGAGUGAGGAGCUGGGAUCGGAUGCGGUAGAGGGGAGAGCUGCUCCGCGGUGUGGACCAGGCCCGAGCCUCUCCUUCCCUGACUCCCCACUGCCCUCCUCCCCUGCUCCCCUCAGUCACCCGGCGGAGGCCCCAUCGCUGGAACCGGAAGAGGAGGGGCAAGAGCGGCAGGACGCUUUAGAGAAUGAGAACAGAUGGGGCCCAGGACACAUCAGCAGAUGGGGUUCUCAGACCCUGUGUAAAUGAGUUGCAGACCCAGGUCCUGGAGCUGCCCCAUGUCCCUGCGGGGCUGAGCAUGGCCAUUCUGCUCCCUCCUGUCAGCAUCAACGGGGAUCUAAAUGCUACUCAAAAAGUGAUACUGGCCUGAGCCUUGUCUGAACCUCCGUGAAGCAGCCUUACCUCAUGGACAGAGGACUUUGUGAUGCCACAGUCCUGGGUAAUUCCACAGGGAACCAGUGCAGACCUGAGUGACUGGCCCACCAUCCGGACCCUAGGGCUCGCUCUGCUUUUCUUCCAGGUGAACAGUGAGCUUACACAUGUCAAGCUUAAGUGAAUGAACAAAGCCAGGAGCAACGGACAACAAAGAAAACUGCACUGUGGGGUCUGUUCUUGGCAGUUGGGGAACUACCAAUGCUUUUGAUGAUCCCAAGCCUGACUUCUCUGGAAUCUUGUCCAAGACAGAAGUGUCACUAUCUAAGUUUGUGCACAGGUCCUCUGUGGAGGUCAAUCAGGGAGGCACAGGAGUGGCUGUUGUGAGCACUGUGGUGGUUGAGGUGGCAAAAUGCCCAAACCCGGAAGGUUGAAUACAGAUUACCCAUUCCUUUUCCUCAUCUAGUACCACAGAGCAAAGAGCAACCUGCGGAAGGUUCUCCUCUCCCUAAGCCAAUUCCUUCGGGUUGCUGUGCUAUAUUCUUCAGUUUCCCAUGACAAUAGCCAUGCAGUUGACCUCAACCCCACAGCAGAGAGAACACCCUAAGAAGCCCAUUUGAAAUUCUGAGCUCAGAACUUUAUCUGUACACUUAAGGUUUAUGCUUAUGAUUUUCAAAAAACUUCAGAAUGUUCUGAGGGUAUGUUGGAAAUUAGAGGAGCAGAAUGAGUUGUAACUUGGGUUUAGAAAGAAAAUGCCUAUCUUCAAGUUUAGAGGAGGAAAUAACUCUUUGCAGUUUUCUGCUCAAGGGGUACAUCUCCAGUCCCCUGGAUGUCUGUCAGCAUUCACACCUUCACCUUUCCUUCCACAAAAGAGCAGGAAGGCACUAGCCUUCCAGUGCUUCAACCCAUCUACUUUUUUAUCUCAGUAGUGACAACUGUCUGCCCUUCACCUCCAGGAUAAAGAUCCCCGAGACAGAUGCCUCUGUUGUUCCACCCUUUUAAACAGCUUGAAAGUGCACUUAAACAUCUCUCCUUCUGAGACAUGAUGUGGAAAGAUAAAAGGGCUGGUACACUUUUUGAGAAUACUUUCACCAGGAGAACUCUUAAGAGCUAACAGAACUUCCUGACCUGUUGGUUCACUUGACUGGACUCGAGUCCUCUCUCAGGAGAAUGUCCCACGUCCCAUGGUAUGCCUUGUGUUCCAUCCUGGUGGGCAGUGUGGUCAUACAGCAUUACAUUCUCAAGAGGGAAGCCCUUGGUCAAGAUUGCUGCUUGGCAUUGGUUAUCUGUUUGUGUUCUCUUUAAGGCAUGGGAUUUUCAAACAUAGCCAUACACAGAAUAAGAAAUAAGGGAAUUUUAGGCUGUCUGGACACCCACAUAAGCACAGCUGACUGUAAUUUAUAAGAAACCACAAAGGUGAUUUUACAGGGGGAAGGGAACAGUUUUAUUUCUUUGAAGUUUCAGACUUUUAUAACUGGACAAGAAAUUGUGUGAAUUUUUUGGAAAUGUCAAAAAAUGUAAAUGUUACCAUCCACACAAACUUUCCAAUUUCAACAUUAGCUGUAAGUACGCUCACUCCCGAGGUUACUAAGCAGCCUCAGUUAUUAGGUAGAUUGAAGAUAAUUAAAUGAAACUGGGAAAAUCAAGGGGGUUUCAUUUGAGGAAUUGUAACUAGGCAUUGGUUUGAGUAACAAGGGGUCUGAGGGACUUUCUCCAUGUCUCUCUUGAUUCAAAGUAA